rnacentral:rRNA from 1 species
AUGAACGCUGGCGGCGUGCCUAAUACAUGCCAGUCGAGCGAACAGACGAGGAGCUUGCUCCUCUGACGUUAGCGGCGGACGGGUGAGUAACACGUGGAUAACCUACCUAUAAGACUGGGAUAACUUCGGGAAACCGGAGCUAAUACCGGAUAAUAUAUUGAACCGCAUGGUUCAAUAGUGAAAGACGGUUUUGCUGUCACUUAUAGAUGGAUCCGCGCCGCAUUAGCUAGUUGGUAAGGUAACGGCUUACCAAGGCAACGAUGCGUAGCCGACCUGAGAGGGUGAUCGGCCACACUGGAACUGAGACACGGUCCAGACUCCUACGGGAGGCAGCAGUAGGGAAUCUUCCGCAAUGGGCGAAAGCCUGACGGAGCAACGCCGCGUGAGUGAUGAAGGUCUUCGGAUCGUAAAACUCUGUUAUUAGGGAAGAACAAAAGUGUAAGUAACUAUGCACGUCUUGACGGUACCUAAUCAGAAAGCCACGGCUAACUACGUG